GUCCACGCCGUAAACGGUGGGCGCUAGAUGUGGGGACCAUUCCAUGGUUUCUGCGUCGCAGCUAACGCAUUAAGCGCCCCGCCUGGGGAGUACGGUCGCAAGACUAAAACUCAAAGGAAUUGACGGGGGCCCGCACAAGCAGCGGAGCAUGCGGCUUAAUUCGAUGCAACGCGAAGAACCUUACCUAGGCUUGACAUAUAGAGAAAUCCCACAGAGAUGUGGAGUCCGUAAGGGCUCUAUACAGGUGGUGCAUGGUUGUCGU
rnacentral:rRNA from 1 species